rnacentral:rRNA from 1 species
UACGUAGGGGGCAAGCGUUGUCCGGAUUUAUUGGGCGUAAAGAGCGUGUAGGCGGUUUUACAGGUCCGCUGUGAAAACUCGAGGCUCAACCUCGAGCUGUCGGUGGAAACCGUAAGGCUAGAGUCCGGAAGAGGAGAGUGGAAUUCCUGGUGUAGCGGUGAAAUGCGCAGAUAUCAGGAAGAACACCGGUGGCGAAGGCGGCAUCCUGGACCGGUAUUGACGCUGAGGCGCGAAAGCUAGGGGAGCAAACGGG